CGAGGAAUCAGGUCAGCAAAGGAUGCACUGAGGGCAGAGCAUCAAGUUAGGAUUUGAGAUGCAGUCCCGAAACUGGGCAGAGAGAAAACAGGAAAUGAGAGUGUUAUGUUGUCAGGCUGUAAAGUCUGAAGUCUUGCAAUUUCCUCCUCUUCUGCUACAAUUUUUAUAAUAAGAUGACAAAGUUCAUUUCCCUAAAGACUGCAGGCCUGACCCAGGCCAGAGGAGUGGAGAAGCGCAGCACUGCUGUCACCUAACUGAGCUCAGACCCUCAAGCCAGAGCUGCUCUGAAGAGCAGCGGGGAAGGGGGCAGCCAGACGGAUGUUCGCCUGCCAGAGAGAGAAGACACAGAGGGUCCUUGGUCUCUGCGCCUGCAGCAGCAGGUCCUCCUUCAACAGCUCAGAGAUGCCCAAACUGCUCUUAGCUGGAACGAAUUACUUCUUGCCAGGCUUGAAAUUCGUUUCAGGUGGGAGGAGAACAUUGCCGUAAGUGGAGAUUGCAGAGUUGGCAAAAUGAAGUGAGGCUGUAGGACUGGGACCUGGUACCUGGUACGUUAAGGGACUGAAGCCUAGAGGGUCAGUCUGAAUUGGCCUUCAUUUUUAUUUUCCACCCAUGCCCCAAAGAGUGCUUUUAAAAGUGACUCUACCAUGGCACACGUUUACCUAUGUAACAAACCUUCAUGUCCUGCACGUGUAUCCCGGAACUUAAAAUAAAAUAAAAUAAAAUUUUAAUUAAAAAAUU
rnacentral:lncRNA from 1 species